UUUUAAUUACUCUUUUUACUUUAUUUAAUUGUUUAUUUUGCUUUUACUUUUCAUAUAUAGAUUUAUUAUAAUUCAUCAUAGGUUCUUUUUGAAUUUAAGUGAUUUUUUAGGUUAUAUUUUAUCAAUGAUAGUUUUAUUUUGUUUAGUGUAUGUUUUUUUAGUCUGUGUUUAAUAUAAUAAUUGUAAAUAUCUAUUCUAUUAUAUAAAAAUUAAAUUUCUGCAUUUAAUGAUAAAACUGUCGUGACAUGUUUCUCAUGGUGUUUUUCCACUACUAGAAAACUAGUUAUUACAAACGGAUAUUUCUGACGAAUUUUAUUCCAUAGAAAUACAGACGGAAUUUCAGAGGAUUUUUUUUGUCAGAAAACAAAAAAAUGAAUUAGCAUAACUUACAGACGGAAAGAGAAUCCAUUGAUAAUUCUAUCAGAAAAAUUAAUUUUUUUUUCAUGAGAAAUAGUUAUAGACGAAAAAUUCGUCUGUAAUUAAAUGAACAAAAACGCUGCAUUUUAUUAAAUUAUUACAGCCGUCAGUAAUUUAAAACUUUCCGUUGGAAAUAUUGAUUUAAACCUAAUUUAACCUGAGUGUCUCGAGCUUCAUUCACACUCCACACAAGCUUCUUCCUCUCUCUGUCGCACGAACAGCUUCUUCUCUCCGUCGCACGAGCUUUUUCCGCCGUUGUCGCCAUCCGCGUCGCACGAGCUUUCUCCGCCGCCGCUCUCGUUGCAUCUGCUCCCUUCAUCGCCGUCGUCACAGAACUCUCUACGCCGCCGCUCUUGUCGCGUUUGCUCCCUUAGUGAAUUUCAGGUUUAUCAAUUAUUUUAUUAUCAGUGAAGAAAGAGAUUUUUUGUCGGUCAUUUCUGCAGCAAUUCAUGAAACUCGGUGGUUGUUGAAUGGCGAAGCUUGAAAUGAUAGUUGACUUCGUUGGUAACUUCUCCGGCAAAGACCAGCUUCCCUAGUGUGACCCUGACAUCGUCGCUGCAAGACAACCAAAUCCAAUCAUAUACAGGAGAUUGCGCCGCGGAUCAGUGGCAGCGAGAAUUUCAGGCAAACAAACUGAGGCAAGACACUGCUUGACAACCAAAUCCAAUGAUUCUGAGGAUUCUUUAACUGAUGGAAGCAGAAGUAACCUUUUGGAAGUUAAUGAAUAUGGUGUACUACAAAAUAUCACAUUGUGAUGGUCGGAUAACUAACCCAGAGCAAAGAAUUGCAAGCGAUGUGCCAAGGUUCUGCUCAGAGUUAAGUGAAAUUGUUCGGGAUGAUUUAACUGCACUAACUGAUGGACUUCUAUACACUUGGCGGCUGUGUUCAUAUGCAAGUCCAAAAUAUGUCUUCUGGAUAUUGGUACUACCAUAAUUGAAGUUUUCUGUUAUGCAGAUGUCUCAUUGACAGUUACUGUUAACAUUUUUUCUAGAUAUGUUGCUGAUGGCUGGAGACUGUCAGACAAAUGUUACGCAGAAAUCAGUCUUUAUAUUCUCAAUAAAUGCUGUUUCCUCUUUAGGGCUAUGUACUUGUAGCUGGGACCACAAUCAGAAAAUUCUCUCCUCCAUUUGGUAAACUAAUGUCCAGAGAGCAGCAAUUGGAAGGAGACUAUCGACAGCUUCACUCGUGAUUGAGGACUCACUCGGAAAGUAUAGCAUUUUAUGGUGGAGAGAUGAGAGAAGAAGCCCAUAUUCAGCAGAAGUUUAAGACCUUGGUUAGGCAUUUGAGUAGUGUCCUACAUGACCAUUGGUGGUUUGGCAUGAUUCAGGACUUUUUAUUGAAGUACCUUGGUGCUGCAGUUGCUGUUAUUCUGAUAAUUGAGCCUUUCUUUUCUGGCCAUUUUUUCUCUUCCAAGUAAUGCUUGCCAAU